rnacentral:rRNA from 1 species
AUGGAGUCUACGCUAAUCACGAGAUUACCCCCCCUCCUCCCCUCUCCCUCCAAGUCCAGCCCCCUCUCCUCACCCCCCCUCGCCGGAGCGCGCCGCAUCGCCUCCAUUUCCUUCUCUUCCGUCAGCGUGUGUGGCGUCUUGCGUCCCCGCGGCGGCGUUACCUCGUCGGUCACCGCCGCAGCAGCGGCGCUCGGCGAGGCCGCAGAGCCCGGGUCUGAGGCCAUAUUGCUCAGUGUUCAGGGCAUGAUGUGCGACGGGUGCGCUGCGAGUGUGAAGCGGAUUCUCGAGAGUCAACCUGAGGUUACUUCUGCUACAGUUGAUUAUAAGGAAGCAAGGGCUGUCGUGUGGACAACUCCUGAUGUCAAGGUGGCAGAAGAUUGGCAGAAACAAUGUGGAGAGAAACUCGCAAGUCAUCUUGGUACUUGUGGAUUUGAGUCUCGCCCACAAGGGUAA